AUCAGGGUUUGGCUGGCCACCUGGGGGAAGAACCAGCUAUUAUCUGGAGGUGGCUGUGAGAUUCGGGCUGCUGCUGCUGGCAGGCCUUCGGGGAAGCAACCGGAGUACUGAUCUGGUGUAGCCAGGUCUGUGUGUGUGAGGCUCCGCUCCGCAGCAAUCAUUAUCAGGAGCGAACGGGCCGCCUCGUCGCUUCGUCCGGCCUGGGCAGAGCCGAGAAAUAAUUCCCGAGGCCCUCGAAAAGUUUGCGCUGCCGGCACGAACCGCCGCGUCUGCCGGGGGCUGUGUGUAGCGGUUGCAAGCCAGGGAGCCGAGGCC
rnacentral:lncRNA from 1 species